rnacentral:rRNA from 1 species
UUUUCCUACGGGGCGCAGCAGUGAGGAAUAUUGGUCAAUGGGCGGGAGCCUGAACCAGCCAAGUCGCGUGAGGGAAGACGGUCCUAUGGAUUGUAAACCUCUUUAGGCGGGGAGCAAUGCCGGGCACGUGUGCCCGGAGGGAGAGUACCCGCAGAAUAAGCAUCGGCUAACUCCGUGCCAGCAGCCGCGGUAAUACGGAGGAUGCGAGCGUUAUCCGGAUUUAUUGGGUUUAAAGGGUGCGCAGGCGGCGAGUUAAGUCAGCGGUAAAAUUUCGGGGCUCAACCCCGACGAGCCGUUGAAACUGG